rnacentral:SRP_RNA from 1 species
GCUGGGCAUGGUGGCACGUGCCUGUAGUCCCAGCUACUCGGGAGACUGAGGCUGGAGGAUUGCUUGAGUCCAGGAGUUCUGGGAUGUAGUGCGCUAUGCCAAUCGGGUGUCCGCACUAAGUUCGGCAUCAAUAUGGUGACCUCUUGGGAGCGGGGGACCACCGGGUUGCCUAAGGAGGGGUGAACCGGCCCAGGUCAGAAACAGACCAGGUCAAAACUCCUGUGCUGAUUAGUAGUGGGAUCGUGCCUGUGAAUAGCCACUGUACUCCAGCCUGGGCAACAUAACAAGACCCUGUCUCU